rnacentral:rRNA from 1 species
AUUGAACGCUGGCGGCAUGCCUUACACAUGCAAGUCGAACGGUAACAGGUCUUCGGAUGCUGACGAGUGGCGAACGGGUGAGUAAUACAUCGGAACGUGCCCGAUCGUGGGGGAUAACGAAGCGAAAGCUUUGCUAAUACCGCAUACGAUCUACGGAUGAAAGCGGGGGAUCUUCGGACCUCGCGCGGACGGAGCGGCCGAUGGCAGAUUAGGUAGUUGGUGGGAUAAAAGCUUACCAAGCCGACGAUCUGUAGCUGGUCUGAGAGGAUGAUCAGCCACACUGGGACUGAGACACGGCCCAGACUCCUACGGGAGGCAGCAGUGGGGAAUUUUGGACAAUGGGCGCAAGCCUGAUCCAGCCAUGCCGCGUGCAGGACGAAGGCCUUCGGGUUGUAAACUGCUUUUGUACGGAACGAAAAGGUGCCUUCUAAUAAAGGGCGCUCAUGACGGUACCGUAAGAAUAAGCACCGGCUAACUACGUG